GAUGAACGCUGGCGGCGUGCUUAACACAUGCAAGUCGAACGGAAAGGCCAUGCUUUUGUGGGGUGCUCGAUUGGCGAACGGGUGAGUAACACGUGAGUAACCUGCCCUUGACUUUGGGAUAACUUCAGGAAACUGGGGCUAAUAUCGGAUAGGAGCUCCUGCUGCACGGUGGGGGUUGGUAAGUUUCGGCGGUUGGGGAUGGACUCGGGGCGUAGUAGCUAGUUGGUGGGGUAGUGGCUUACCCAGGCUUUGAGGGGUAGCCGACGUGACUGGGUGGUCGGCCACCCGGGAGCGGAGACAGGGACAAGGCGACUACGAGACGCAGCAGUCGCGAACGGUACGCAGUAGUGGGGAGUAUGGCAGAAUGGGCGGAAGUGUGAUGUGGCGGUGCCGGGUGCGUGAUGACGUGCUACGAGGGGUAAACCACUGUCGACUGUGACGUAGAGUGAGUGACGGUAAUGAGUAAAGAAGCACCGGCUAACUACGUG
rnacentral:rRNA from 1 species